GACGAACGCUGGCGGCGUGCUUAACACAUGCAAGUCGAGCGGAGCGGCGAACGGGUGAGUUACGCGUGAGUAACUUCCCCCCUCUCUGGGCUCACAGUUGGAAACGGAUGCUAAUACCGGAUAGUGGGGGAUGACUCGCGUCCAAUCAGCUUGUUGGUGGGGUAGUGGCCUACCAAGGGGACGACGGGUAGCCGGCCUGAGCGGGGGACCGGCCACAAUGGGCUGCGAGACGGCCCAAACGCCUACGGGAGGCAGUAGUGGGGAAUAUUGCACAAUGGGGGAAACCGUGAUGCAGCAACGCGCGUGCGGGAUGACGGUCUUCUGGUUGUAAACCGCUUUCAGCCAUGACGCGGUAGUGGCAGAAGAAGCACCGGCUAACUACGUGCCAGCAGCCGCGGUAAUAC
rnacentral:rRNA from 1 species